rnacentral:rRNA from 1 species
CACGUAGGGGGCAAGCGUUGUCCGGAUUUAUUGGGCGUAAAGAGCUCGUAGGCGGUUCGGUAAGUCCGAUGUGAAAUCUCCCGGCUCAACUGGGAAACUGCAUCGGAAACUGAUCGGCUUGAAGGUGGGAGAGGGUAGUGGAAUUCCCGGUGUAGUGGUGAAAUGCGUAGAUAUCGGGAGGAACACCAGUGGCGAAGGCGGCUCACUGGCCCGAUACUGACCGCUGAGGUGCGAAAGCGUGGGGAGCAA